CUCUCCUCCUGCCCUUCCCCUGGCUCAUGCUCUUUCCCUUUCUCUCUGUCAAAUAAGUAAAAUCUUUAAAAAAGAACUCAAGGACCUUGGCCACAGGUCUGCUCCCCAGACCCUCACAUCUGUACGUGCAUUGGCCUGAGCGUUCCCCGUGCUCCUAGCGCAGCCCGUGAGUCUCUUCUGACCUUUGAGCCCAUUACCACGGUGCAAGGAAGUCCCUGGCAGGGCCUCGCGGAGACUCUGGCCAAAAUCUCUGCUGCCAAUCGAUCAGCCCACAGAAGCGAAGAGCCUUCAGGAUUCCAGCCUCUGCUCGCAAGUCUUCCAGCUGAGGCCCCAGGCCUGCAGACUCUGAAUCGUCCCAGAGAACACCAACCCACCUCCCCACCCCAGUUUUGCCUUCAUUUGCACACUCCUGAUCAG